AGAGUUUGAUCCUGGCUCAGGAUGAACGCUAGCGACAGGCCUAACUCAUGCAAGUCGAGGGGUAACAUGAGUGCUUGCACUUGAUGACGACCGGCGCACGGGUGCGUAACGCGUAUGCAACUUACCUUGUACUGGGGAAUAGCCCGUGGAAACGCGGAUUAAUGUCCCAUAACACUACAAUUUCGCAUGGAAAAGUGGUUAAAGUUCCGACGGUACAAGAUGGGCAUGCGUGACAUUAGCUAGUUGGUGAGGUAAGGGCUCACCAAGGCGACGAUGUCUAGGGGUUCUGAGAGGAAGGUCCCCCACACUGGUACUGAGACACGGACCAGACUCCUACGGGAGGCAGCAGUGAGGAAUAUUGGUCAAUGGGCGCAAGCCUGAACCAGCCAUGUCGCGUGCAGGAAGACUGCCCUACGGGUUGUAAACUGCUUUUGUAUGGGAAGAAACGUUGGUACGUGUACCAAUUUGCCGGUACCAUACGAAUAAGGAUCGGCUAACUCCGUGCCAGCAGCCGCGGUAAUACGGAGGAUCCAAGCGUUAUCCGGAUUUAUUGGGUUUAAAGGGUGCGUAGGCGGUAGAAUAAGUCAGUGGUGAAAUCCUGCAGCUUAACUGUAGAACUGCCAUUGAUACUGUUUUACUUGAGUGUAAUUGAGGUAGGCGGAAUGUGUUGUGUAGCGGUGAAAUGCAUAGAUAUAACACAGAACACCGAUUGCGAAGGCAGCUUACUAAGUUAUAACUGACGCUGAUGCACGAAAGCGUGGGUAGCGAACAGGAUUAGAUACCCUGGUAGUCCACGCCGUAAACGAUGAUUACUCGCUGUAGGCAAUACACCGUCUGUGGCUGAGCGAAAGCAUUAAGUAAUCCACCUGGGGAGUACGUUGGCAACAAUGAAACUCAAAGGAAUUGACGGGGGCCCGCACAAGCGGAGGAACAUGUGGUUUAAUUCGAUGAUACGCGAGGAACCUUACCUGGACUUAAAUGUAGAUUGACGUAUCCAGAGAUGGAUAUUUCUUCGGACAAUUUACAAGGUGCUGCAUGGUUGUCGUCAGCUCGUGCCGUGAGGUGUCGGGUUAAGUCCCAUAACGAGCGCAACCCCUGUUGUUAGUUACCAGCACAUCAUGGUGGGGACUCUAACAAGACUGCCGGUGUAAACCGCGAGGAAGGUGGGGAUGACGUCAAAUCAGCACGGCCCUUACGUCCAGGGCUACACACGUGUUACAAUGGCCGGUACAGAGGGCAGCUACUUGGUGACAAGAUGCGAAUCUCAAAAACCGGUCUCAGUUCGGAUCGAAGUCUGCAACCCGACUUCGUGAAGCUGGAUUCGCUAGUAAUCGCAUAUCAGCCAUGAUGCGGUGAAUACGUUCCCGGGCCUUGUACGC
rnacentral:rRNA from 1 species